CUGGCGGCGGCGGGUCACGUGAGCGGAAGAUGGCGGCCCCGGCAGGCGGCGGGGGCUCCGCGGUGUCCGUGUUGGCUCCGAACGGGCGACGCCACACGGUGAAGGUGACGCCGAGCACCGUGCUGCUGCAGGUUCUGGAGGACACCUGUCGGUGGCAGGGCUUCAAUCCUAGCGAGUAUGAUCUCAAGUUUCAGAGGAAUGUGCUCGACCUCUCCCUGCAGUGGAGAUUUGCCAACCUGCCCAACAAUGCCAAGCUGGAGAUGGUGCCCGCCUCCCGGUGCCGAGAGGGGCCUAACAAUGUGGUUCGCAUCGCCUUACAGCUGGAUGAUGGCUCCAGGUUGCAGGACACUUUCUGUUCUGGCCAGACCCUCUGGGAGCUCCUUAGCCACUUUGCACAGACCAGAGAGCGUCUGGAACAGGCCUGCGGGACGAGUCCAGUCUGUGUGUACAUGAGGGACGAGGUUAGCGGCAGAGCUGCCUUGCAGAGCACGACACUGCAGUCGCUGGGCCUCACUGGGGGCAGUGCCAUCAUCAGGUUUGCCAUGAAGUGCUGUGACCCUGUCAGCCUUUCAGAGUCAGGAGGCAAGCCCCCAGGAAGCCCAGUUUCUUCCCUGUCAGCCGACCAGGCCUCCUGUAGCCCCCUGCUUCCGCUGAGCUCGGCGGACCUUAGCCAGGGUGACAUAGGCCAAGAGGAGGAGGUGGGCCCUGCAGGAAGUCCCAACACUUCAGAUGCCCAGGCCAAGCAGCUGCCCACAGAGCCUGCGCCUGCCACUUUUGUUCCUUUCUCUGGUGGAGGGCACCGACUGGGGGGCCCCCCUGGUUCUGUGAGGCCUGCAGUGUCAUCAUCAGCCAAGUUGCCAAAGUCCUUCUGCAGCCUUGGAGGCCCCUCAAAGCCAAAGAAACUGAAGCCGGGCCAGGAGCCCUCACGGGAGCCCGAGCAGCCAGUGGAACGGGACCCUGUGGUUUGCCAUCCUGACCUGGAGGAGCUGCUGCAGGCUUGGCCAGCGGAGCUGCCCGAUGAGUUCUUUGAGGUGACGGUGGAUGACGUGAGACAGCGCCUGGCUCAGCUCAAGAGCGAGCGGAAGCGCCUAGAAGAAGCUCCACUAGUGACCAAGGCCUUUCGGGAGACACAGAUGAAGGAGAAGCUAGAACGCUACCCUAAGGUGGCCCUGAGGGUCCUGUUCCCUGACCGCUACAUCUUGCAGGGCUUCUUCCGCCCCAGUGAGACAGUAGGGGAUCUGCGGGACUUUGUGAGGAGUCACCUGGGGAACCCCAUGCUACCGUUCUACCUGUUCAUCGCUCCUCCAAAGACCGUGCUGGAAGACCACAGCUUGACCCUCUUCCAGGCCAACCUCUUCCCUGCUGCCCUCGUACACUUUGGAGCUGAGGAGCCUGCAAGUGAGUGGGGGCUCCUCCAGGUCUCUACCUGGAGCCCAGACUGCUGGAACACACGGUGUCCCCAUCGGUGGCAGACAUGCUGGUGGCCAGAUAUAUGUCCAGGGCCGCCCGGCCUGAGCCUCCGCUGCCAGCCCCCGAGGAGUUGGAGCCCACAGUAGAGGAGGCCCUGGAGCCCCCUGAGCCCAGCCCGGGGCCAGUGCAGCCUGUGAGGAGGGAUCUGGGCAAGGUGCCCAAGUGGCUGAAGCUGCCAGCAAACAAGAGGUGAGAAUGGCCUGGAGGUACCUGCCCACCCACCCAGCCUCCCCCCAGCAGGAAUAAAGAUGGCUUCUCCAUA